GACUCUCGGCAACGAAUAUCUCGGCUCUCGCAUCGAUGGAAGAACGUAGCGAAAUGCGAUACUUGUGUGAAUUGCAGAAUCCCGUGAACCAUCGAGUCUUUGAACGCAAGUUGCGCCCGAGGCCUCCUGGUCGAGGGCACGUCUGCCUGUGUGUCA
rnacentral:rRNA from 1 species